AAUGUCUGGGAAACUGCCCGAUGGAGGGGGAUAACUACUGGAAACGGUAGCUAAUACCGCAUAACGUCGCAAGACCAAAGUGGGGGACCUUCGGGCCUCACACCAUCGGAUGUGCCCAGAUGGGAUUAGCUAGUAGGUGGGGUAACGGCUCACCUAGGCGACGAUCCCUAGCUGGUCUGAGAGGAUGACCAGCCACACUGGAACUGAGACACGGUCCAGACUCCUACGGGAGGCAGCAGUGGGGAAUAUUGCACAAUGGGCGCAAGCCUGAUGCAGCCAUGCCGCGUGUAUGAAGAAGGCCUUCGGGUUGUAAAGUACUUUCAGCGGGGAGGAAGGCGAUGUGGUUAAUAACCGCGUCGAUUGACGUUACCCGCAGAAGAAGCACCGGCUAACUCCGUGCCAGCAGCCGCGGUAAUACGGAGGGUGCAAGCGUUAAUCGGAAUUACUGGGCGUAAAGCGCACGCAGGCGGUCUGUCAAGUCGGAUGUGAAAUCCCCGGGCUUAACCUGGGAACUGCAUUCGAAACUGGCAGGCUAGAGUCUUGUAGAGGGGGGUAGAAUUCCAGGUGUAGCGGUGAAAUGCGUAGAGAUCU
rnacentral:rRNA from 1 species